rnacentral:rRNA from 1 species
UAGUCAUAUGCUUGUCUUAAAGACUAAGCCAUGCAUGUCUAAGUAUAAAUAUUAUACAGUGAAACUGCGAAUGGCUCAUUAAAACAGUUAUAGUUUAUUCGAUAAUUCUCCUACAUGGAUAACCGUAGUAAUUCUAGAGCUAAUACAUGCUAUCAAACCAGUCUCUGGCUGGUUGUAUUUAUUAGAUAUAAACCAAUACCUUCGGGUGUUGUGAUGAUUCAUAAUAACUGAGCGAAUCGCAGUUGUACUGCGAUAGAUCGUUCAAGUUUCUGCCCUAUCAGCUUUCGAUGGUAGUGUAUUGGACUACCAUGGCAGUUACGGGUAACGGGGAAUCAGGGUUUGAUUCCGGAGAAGGAGCCUGAGAAACGGCUACUACUUCCAAGGAAGGCAGCAGGCGCGCAAAUUACCCAAUCCCAAAACGGGGAGGUAGUGACAAUAAAUAACGAUAUUGGAUUUUAUAAAAAAUCUAAUAAUUGGAAUGAGUACAAUCUAAACCCCUUAACGAGUAUCAAUU